rnacentral:rRNA from 1 species
AGACCGUCGUGAGACAGGUCGGUCUCUAUCCGCUGUGGGCGCAAGGGAUUUGAGAGAAGCUGUCCCUAGUACGAGAGGACCGGGAUGGACAGACCUCUAGUGUGCCAGUUGUUCCGCCAGGGGCAUUGCUGGGUAGCUACGUCUGGCAGAGAUAACCGCUGAAAGCAUCUAAGUGGGAAACUCGUCUCAAGAUUAGAUCCCUCAUCCGUAUGGAGUAAGACCGCUAGAAGACUACUAGUUUGAUAGGCGGCAGGUGUACGCAUAGUAAUAUGUUCAGCCAAGCCGUACUAAUGGUCGAGGGCUUACGAUA